CCUACGGGUGGCUGCAGUGGGGAAUAUUGGACAAUGGGCGAAAGCCUGAUCCAGCCAUGCCGCGUGUGUGAAGAAGGCCUUCGGGUUGUAAAGCACUUUCAGUGGGGAAGAAAGCCUUGGGGCUAAUACCCUCGAGGAAGGACAUCACCCACAGAAGAAGCACCGGCUAACUCCGUGCCAGCAGCCGCGGUAAUACGGAGGGUGCGAGCGUUAAUCGGAAUUACUGGGCGUAAAGCGCGCGUAGGCGGUCUGAUAAGCCGGUUGUGAAAGCCCCGGGCUCAACCUGGGAACGGCAUCCGGAACUGUCAGGAUAGAGUGCAGUAGAGGAAGGUAGAAUUCCCGGUGUAGCGGUGAAAUGCGUAGAGAUCGGGAGGAAUACCAGUGGCGAAGGCGGCCUUCUGGACUGACACUGACGCUGAGGUGCGAAAGCGGGGGUAGCAAACAGGAUUAGAUACCCGAGUAGUC
rnacentral:rRNA from 1 species